rnacentral:ncRNA from 1 species
AAGGUACGCAUUUGUUGUGCGUUUAAAAGGGAAGUUUGGUGCGAAUCCAACACUGUCCCGCAACUGUAUUUCGGAGCAACUCUUAAAAAGCCACUGUAAUUUAACGGGAAGGUAAGAGGCGCGUUGAUGUUAAGUCAGGAGACCUGCCUUUUUC